rnacentral:rRNA from 1 species
GAUGAACGCUGGCGGCGUGCUUAACACAUGCAAGUCGAACGAGAAAUGUAGACGGAAACUUUAGGGCGGAAGCCUUCAUUUCGAGUGGCGGACGGGUGAGUAACGCGUGGGUAACCUGCCUCAUACAGGGGGAUAACAGUUGGAAACGACUGUUAAUACCGCAUAAGACCACAGCAUCGCAUGAUGCGGGGGUAAAAACUCCGGUGGUAUGAGAUGGACCCGCGUUCGAUUAGCCAGUUGGCGGGGUAACGGCCCACCAAAGCGACGAUCGAUAGCCGAUCUGAGAGGAUGACCGGCCACAUUGAGACUGAGACACGACCCAAACGCCUACGGGAGGCAGCAGUGGGGAAUAUAGCACAAUGGGGGAAACCCAGAUGCAGCGACGCCGCGUGAGUGAAGAAGUAGUUCGGUAUGUAAAGCACUAUCAGCAGGGAAGAAAAUGACGGUACCUGAGGAAGAAGCCCCGGCUAACUACGUG